rnacentral:rRNA from 1 species
GACGAACGCUGGCGGCGUGCUUAACACAUGCAAGUCGAACGGAAAGGCCCUGCUUGCAGGGUACUCGAGUGGCGAACGGGUGAGUAACACGUGGGUGAGCUGCCCUGCACUUCGGGAGAAGCCUGGGAAACUGGGUCUAAUACCGGAUAGGAGCCAUUUUUAGUGUGAUGGUUGGAAAGUUUUUUCGGUGUAGGAUGAGCUCGCGGCCUAUCAGCUUGUUGGUGGGGUAAUGGCCUACCAAGGCGGCGACGGGUAGCCGGCCUGAGGGGGUGGACGGCCACAUUGGGACUGAGAUACGGCCCAGGCUCCUACGGGAGGCAACAGUGGGGAAUAUUGCACAAUGGGCGCGAGCCUGAUGCAGCGACGCCGCGUGGGGGAUGACGGCCUUCGGGUUGUAAACUCCUUUCGCUAGGGACGAAGCUUUUUGUGACGGUACCUAGAUAAGAAGCACCGGCUAACUACGUG